rnacentral:rRNA from 1 species
GAUGAACGCUGGCGGCGUGCCUAAUACAUGCAAGUCGAGCGAACAGACGAGGAGCUUGCUUCUCUGACGUUAGCGGCGGACGGGUGAGUAACACGUGGAUAACCUACCUAUAAGACUGGGAUAACUUCGGGAAACCGGAGCUAAUACCGGAUAAUAUAUUGAACCGCAUGGUUCAAUAGUGAAAGACGGUUUUGCUGUCACUUAUAGAUGGAUCCGCGCCGCAUUAGCUAGUUGGUAAGGUAACGGCUUACCAAGGCAACGAUGCGUAGCCGACCCGAGAGGGUGAUCGGCCACACUGGAACUGAGACACGGUCCAGACUCCUACGGGAGGCAGCAGUAGGGAAUCUUCCGCAAUGGGCGAAAGCCUGACGGAGCAACGCCGCGUGAGUGAUGAAGGUCUUCGGAUCGUAAAACUCUGUUAUUAGGGAAGAACAAAUGUGUAAGUAACUAUGCACGUCUUGACGGUACCUAAUCAGAAAGCCACGGCUAACUACGUG